GGAUAGACAACUAGUUGGUCUGAUGGAAAAUUUGGUUUUCAAGGGUAGCCAAUAUGACUG
rnacentral:tRNA from 1 species